rnacentral:snRNA from 1 species
AUUGCAUCUUGGCNCUUUGGCUAAGAUCAUGUGUAGUAUCUGUUCUUUUUUAUUUAAAUUAUUUUUCAUUUUACAUACCAACCACA